UUAUAUCCACCUGAACGAAACACCGACAAUGGGAAUGAUUUAUUCCGAUUCCGAUUCAGGUGAUGAACCAAACAGAAUUAGGUAAUGAGUCAUUUCGAUUCCGAUUCCAGCUUAUUUUGAUUCCGAUUCUGAUUUCGACUCCGACUUCGAACCAAACACGCCCUGUAUUUCUACUUUCAACAUGGCUCCGAAGCGCUCCUCGGCUAUUUUUCUUACCCCAGACAGCG
rnacentral:lncRNA from 1 species